rnacentral:lncRNA from 1 species
UAUUUUUCUUUUGUUUUCCUAGUUUUUUUUAACUCUUUUUUUUAUUUUUUGUUAUUUCCUGUUUAUUUAUUCUCAUAUAUAAUACAUAAAGAAAAAGAGGAAAAACUCACCGGGACGGGGUUUCAAACGCCGAUCUGACGCUUCGUCGGCCGUCAGAGGUGGUGGCGGUGCGGCGGCGCAACGGCGGCGCUUAGAGGACCAAAGGGCCGGAUGCUUGAGAGAAAAAAAGAUUGGUUUUGAGUUUUUUUUUUUUUAAAAUGGCUGCAAAUGAUUUUUUUGAAACAAUUUUGAUUUAAGUAAGGGUGAAAAACGACGCCGUUUUGAGCUACGGUUAACAGGCUCCAAAACGACGCCGUUUGGCUUCUGGC